rnacentral:rRNA from 1 species
GACGAACGCUGGCGGCGUGCUUAACACAUGCGAGUCGAACGGAAAGGCCCUGCUUUUGUGGGGUGCUCGAGUGGCGAACGGGUGAGUAACACGUGAGUAACCUGCCCUUGACUUUGGGAUAACUUCAGGAAACUGGGGCUAAUACCGGAUAGGAGCUCCUGCUGCAUGGUGGGGGUUGGAAAGUUUCGGCGGUUGGGGAUGGACUCGCGGCUUAUCAGCUUGUUGGUGGGGUAGUGGCUUACCAAGGCUUUGACGGGUAGCCGGCCUGAGAGGGUGACCGGCCACAUUGGGACUGAGAUACGGCCCAGACUCCUAUGGGAGGCAGCAGUGGGGAAUAUUGCACAAUGGGCGGAAGCCUGAUGCAGCAACGCCGCGUGCGGGAUGACGGCCUUCGGGUUGUAAACCGCUUUCGCCUGUGACGAAGCGUGAGUGACGGUAAUGGGUAAAGAAGCACCGGCUAACUACGUG